rnacentral:lncRNA from 1 species
AAGAAAAAACAGCCCUCAAUGUCAAUGAUUUUUACUUUAAUGAGGAAAAAAAGGGACACAAAGAGAACAACACUUAUGCAUACAAAUGGUUGGUUUAACACACACUGAACAAAUUGAUGCAUAAAUUGCCUAUGAUAAAUGCUUGUGUUAAAUGUGGUUAUUUAUUAUGUUUUCUAUUACAUAAAUUGGUUGCAGAAUUAUAACAAAUGCUCUUUAUUAAUCUUACCUUCCCUGUGGCUGCAGAAUGACUUGAAGCAAUUAUCUUCAGUGUGGAACCCAAUUCCAUUAUUGUUGAUGGGCAGAAGAGUCUCAGCAGCUUCCUAAUACUGCACAGACAGCUCAAAUCCUCCUGCUUCUGCUUUUAGGCAUCCUGCAUCUUUCCUCAUCUUUCUAUGCUGACAUGUGUAAAGUUGGAAUAAUGCUAAUGAACAGACCUCACAAACUGAUGUGCAGAAGAACACAGCUGUCAACCUCCUCCAUCCAGGGAAGACAGCUGCUUGAAAAGAGCAUAAAAAGAGCUGCUAUACAAAGAGAUGAUGGACAGAAGUUCUUUGACACUGUUUUCAUUGCUCCAGACCGGCUGCCUGACUGCAGUGAAAGUUUACAUCUACUCAUUUUCAAGUACUGAGUAGCUGUAAAGUCAGUUUGGCUCUCAGGCAGGCAAGUCAUAACUUGUAUUUCCCAGAUGCAUCCAGAAAGGGAAGUGCUUUCAGAUGGGAUGUUUCUGCUCUGUGAAACACAAAGGGGAAGUCUAUAUAGAGUCCCGUAGCUCUGUCUCCCUUUAGGAGGCUUAAUAUUUACUAUAAUGGUUGUAUAUAUUUUUUCAUUUUUAAGCCAAGGUAUGGUAUGUAUCUCUGAGUAAAACAUUUUCCUAGCAAGGACUAAGGUCUCUGGACUACACUUAAUACCCUGCAUUUUUAUUAAGAGACCCUGAUGUACUGUAGAGAGCUCUGCUACCAUUCUUGAAAGAAACACAGUAUUGGAUACAUUUGUGUAUAAAGAUAUUAGUGAUGAUUGUUUUGGAAAUGUACGGUAAUAAAAUAACAAAACAAAGCA